rnacentral:rRNA from 1 species
UACGUAGGUGGCAAGCGUUAUCCGGAAUUAUUGGGCGUAAAGAGCGCGCAGGUGGUUAAUUAAGUCUGAUGUGAAAGCCCACGGCUUAACCGUGGAGGGUCAUUGGAAACUGAUUAACUUGAGUGCAGAAGAGGGAAGUGGAAUUCCAUGUGUAGCGGUGAAAUGCGUAGAGAUAUGGAGGAACACCAGUGGCGAAGGCGGCUUCCUGGUCUGUAACUGACACUGAGGCGCGAAAGCGUGGGGAGCAAACAGG